UCAGGAUAGCUCAGUUGGUAAAGCUUGAGACUUAAUCUCAGGGUCAUGGGUUUGAGCACCACAUUGGAUGAA